GCGUAAUAGCUCACUGGUCGAGAGACCCUGCGCCGAAGAUUACCGGGGCUAAAGUACGAAACCGAAGCUGUGGCUACGACGUAAGUCGUGGGGUAGGGGAGCGUUCUGUGAGGGCUGAAGUCGUUCUGUAAGGAACGGUGGACUUCACAGAAGUGAGAAUGUUGGUAUGAGUAGCGAAAAGAAUGGUGAGAAUCCAUUCCACCGAAAGCAUAAGGAUUCCUGGGCAACGAUCGUCGUCCCAGGGUAAGUCGGGACCUAAUCCGAGGCAUGGAGCGUAGGAGAUGGACAACUGGCAGAUAUUCCAGUACCGGUAAUGAUUGUUUGAGCGAUGGAGUGACACAGGAGGGCAGGCAGGCAGGAGAUUGGUUGUUCCUGUACAAGCGUGUAGGGUGG
rnacentral:rRNA from 1 species